rnacentral:rRNA from 2 species
UGCAAGUCGAGCGAAUGGAUUAAGAGCUUGCUCUUAUGAAGUUAGCGGCGGACGGGUGAGUAACACGUGGGUAACCUGCCCAUAAGACUGGGAUAACUCCGGGAAACCGGGGCUAAUACCGGAUAACAUUUUGAACUGCAUGGUUCGAAAUUGAAAGGCGGCUUCGGCUGUCACUUAUGGAUGGACCCGCGUCGCAUUAGCUAGUUGGUGAGGUAACGGCUCACCAAGGCAACGAUGCGUAGCCGACCUGAGAGGGUGAUCGGCCACACUGGGACUGAGACACGGCCCAGACUCCUACGGGAGGCAGCAGUAGGGAAUCUUCCGCAAUGGACGAAAGUCUGACGGAGCAACGCCGCGUGAGUGAUGAAGGCUUUCGGGUCGUAAAACUCUGUUGUUAGGGAAGAACAAGUGCUAGUUGAAUAAGCUGGCACCUUGACGGAACCUAACCAGAAAGCCACGGCUAA